AUAGAUAUAGCAUAAGGAAUGCGACUGUAGUAUACAGAAGAUGUAGGUUCAAGUCCUACUGUUUAUGCCA
rnacentral:tRNA from 1 species